rnacentral:rRNA from 1 species
CCUACGGGGGGCAGCAGUGGGGAAUAUUGGGCAAUGGGCGCAAGCCUGAUGCAGCAACGCCGCGUGAAGGAAGAAGGCUUUCGGGUUGUAAACUUCUUUUCUCAGGGACGAAGAAAGUGACGGUACCUGAGGAAUAAGCCACGGCUAACUACGUGCCAGCAGCCGCGGUAAUACGGAGGUGGCAAGCGUUAGCCGGAUUUACUGGGGGUAAAGGGCGUGUAGGCGGGACUGCAAGUCAGAUGUGAAAACCACGGGCUCAACCUGUGGCCUGCAUUUGAAACUGUAGGUCUUGAGUACUGGAGAGGCAGUCGGAAUUCCUAGUGUAGCGGUGAAAUGCGUAGAUAUUAGGAGGAACACCAGUGGCGAAGGCGGUCUGCUGGACAGCAACUGACGCUGAGGCGCGAAAGCGUGGGGAGCAAACAGGAUUAGAUACCCUUGUAGUC